CUUAGCUUGCUAAGUUUGAUGGCGACCGGCGCACGGGUGAGUAACACGUAUCCAACCUACCCUUUACUCGGGGAUAGCCUUUCGAAAGAAAGAUUAAUACCCGAUAGCAUAAUGAUUCCGCAUGGUUUCAUUAUUAAAGGAUUCCGGUAAAGGAUGGGGAUGCGUUCCAUUAGGUUGUUGGUGGGGUAACGGCCCACCAAGCCUUCGAUGGAUAGGGGUUCUGAGAGGAAGGUCCCCCACAUUGGAACUGAGACACGGUCCAAACUCCUACGGGAGGCAGCAUG
rnacentral:rRNA from 1 species